GGAGGGUUCGCAUAGUGGUCAAUUGCAUCGGUUUCGAAAACCGAAGCCUUUUUAGGUUCCGUGGGUUCGAAUCCCACACCCUCCG
rnacentral:tRNA from 1 species